rnacentral:rRNA from 1 species
CCAAUAGCGUAUAUUAAAGUUGUUGCAGUUAAAAAGCUCGUAGUUGAAUUUCGGGAUCAAUAUGUCGGUCGUGCCUCGGUACGUACUGGCAUUGUUGGUUUCUCCCUUCUGAAGAACCUUGAUGUCAUUAAUUUGGUGUCUUGGGGAAUCAGGACUGUUACUUUGAAAAAAUUAGAGUGUUUAAAGCAGGCUCGCGCUUGAAUACAUUAGCAUGGAAUAAUGAAAUAGGACGUUUGAUUCUAUUUUGUUGGUUUCUAGGAUCGACGUAAUGAUUAAUAGGGAUAGUUGGGGGCAUUAGUAUUCAAUUGUCAGAGGUGAAAUUCUUGGAUUUAUUGAAGACUAACUACUGCGAAAGCAUUUGCCAAGGAUGUUUUCAUUAAUCAAGAACGAAAGUUAGGGGAUCGAAGACGAUCAGAUACCGUCGUAGUCUUAACCAUAAACUAUGCCGACUAGGGAUCGGAUGAUGUUAAUUUUUUAAUGACUCAUUCGGCGCCUUACG